rnacentral:rRNA from 1 species
UGGGGAAUAUUGCACAAUGGGCGAAAGCCUGAUGCAGCAACGCCGCGUGAGUGAUGAAGGCCUUCGGGUUGUAAAGCUCUGUCUUCUGGGACGAUAAUGACGGUACCAGAGGAGGAAGCCACGGCUAACUACGUGCCAGCAGCCGCGGUAAUACGUAGGUGGCAAGCGUUGUCCGGAGUUACAGGGCGUAAAGGAUGCGUAGGCGGAUACUUAAGUCAGAUGUGAAAAUCCCGGGCUUAACUUGGGAACUGCAUUUGAAACUGGGUAUCUAGAGUGCGGGAGAGAAAAAUGGAAUUCCUAGUGUAGCGGUGAAAUGCGUAGAGAUUAGGAAGAACACCAGUAGCGAAGGCGACUUUCUGAACCGUAACUGACGCUGAGGCA